GACGAACGCUGGCGGCGUGCUUAACACAUGCAAGUCGAACGGAAAGGCCUGCUUUCCCUUGUGGAUUGCGGGUACUCGAGUGGCGAACGGGUGAGUAACACGUGAGUGAUCUGCCCCCAACUUGGGUAUAAGCCUGGGAAACUGGGUCUAAUUCCCGAUAGGGCUGCAGGGUGGUGCCUGUGGUGGAAAACGAUUUUCUAGUGGUUGGGGAUGAGCUCGCGGCCUAUCAGCUUGUUGGUGGGGUAAUGGCCUACCAAGGCGGCGACGGGUAGCCGGCCUGAGAGGGUGGACGGCCGCAUUGGGACUGAGAUACGGCCCAGACUCCUACGGGAGGCAGCAGUGGGGAAUAUUGCACAAUGGGCGGAAGCCUGAUGCAGCGACGCCGCGUGGGGGAUGACGGCCUUCGGGUUGUAAACUCCUUUCGACCGCGAGGAAGCCACCUGGUUGGAAGGGUGGUGACGGUAGUGGUAGAAGAAGCACCGGCUAACUACGUG
rnacentral:rRNA from 1 species